AUGACUCCGGGGAACAAGGAAGACAUCUGGAGGGCUUCCGAGAAGACCAGAGGGUUCCAAAGGGGGCUGCAGGGCAGAGGCGAGCUCUGGGGCACAAAGAAGGCUGAAAGAUGGUCCAGAGUGCACUGGAAGGGUCCUAAAGGGUCUGGAGGGCAAAGAGAGGCCUGCAGGGGGAAACAAAAAGGCCAAAGGAGGGGGCCAGAGCAGAACAGACGGUUGCUAAAGGGGCUGGAGGGCCAACAGAGGACUGCAGGGCAUGAAGGGGGGCUCCGGAGGGAUUCUGAGGGGACUACCAGGGCCCUAAGGGGUCUCAAGGUCCAAGAGACAGCUCUGGGACACAAGGAAGGCCCAAAGAGUAGUCGGGAACACACCAGAGGGGUCCUAGGGGCACUAGAUGGGCCAAAAAGUAAAAAGCAGGGAGCAAGGAAGACCUGCGGAGGUGGUCUGAGGGGACAAGAGAGGUUGUGCAGGGUGUGCAGGGCCAGAAGACAGCUCUGGGGCACAAAGAAAGCUGAAAAAGUAGUCCAGAGUGCACAAGGGGGGUGCUAAGAGGUGUAGAGGGCCAAGAGAGGCCAGUGGGUGGAAACUAAGAGGCCAAAGGAGGGGGCCAGAGCAGAAGAGAGGGCUGCUAAAGGGGCUGGAGGGCCGACAGAGGGCUGCAGGGCAUGAAGAAGGGCUCCGCAGAGAUCCUUGCAAUCUUUCAGGAUCUAGACAGAAACAAAGACUUCUUCAGGGACAAGAGAAGAAACGCAGUGCCUUGGAGCACCCUUAAAAUCAAAUAGGUAGGUCCUGAGGCAAAUACGGAGGAGAUGGCUGAGUCCUGGGGAGACAAGGGGGAAAACUGAAGAUUCUGGGGCAUUUAACUCACCCGCCAUAAUCUUCCUGCUUGUACACUGUCUCUUACCUCUGAGAAGCUGGCCUUUGCUUUCAUUCCACAGGCAGCUGUCAGCUGUUGUGUAGUCCUGGCAGACAAGUUGGGGACCACUGCCCAGGCAGUCGUGACCUGCAACACCACAUGCUCAGAACAGUUCUCAGGGAGUCAUGCAGAUUCAUAACCUAUAGGGCAAAAGCAAAUAUCUCUUAAGCACAGUUUUCAUUUUGUUAUAGGUAAACGUGACAAAUUGACAACCACUCGGGCUGGGUUGCAUAAAUUCCAAUUUAUAAAAUAAUUGAGCAAGUCACAAGUAAGCAAAACAGCGCUGGGCAGCCGGGGGGAGUCUCCUGCUCCACCAACGGCGCGCGCAACCCCCCCCUCACAGUCUCCUUAUAUGCGAUUCCAGUCCUGGGUAUACAUGGCACUUCCUGUAWCUUCUGCGGUUGCGCCGGCUGUUGCUAGGGGGUCUUCUUCAGCCCUCUGGUGGUCGUGGGGAUGAAGGCUGGAGUCUUCCUCUGCAUUGUGUGCCAUAUUAGGCUAUCUAAACUAACAUUGCCGCUUCACUAGCUCAACUCAAUUUUCUCAGGCGGAGUACAUGCCCCCCACCACAGGCUGUAGGAUGUUCCCACAGAUGUUCCCAAGGCUGUUUCUCGCUGAUGUAACAAAUUAGUACAU
rnacentral:lncRNA from 1 species